rnacentral:rRNA from 1 species
GGGGAUCUUCGGGCCUCAUUGCCAUCAGAUGUGCCCAGAUGGGAUUUAGCCUAGUAGGUGGGGUAAAGGCUCACCUGGGCGACGAUCCGUAACUGGUUUGAGAGGAUGGUCAGUCACACUGGAACUGAGACACGGUCCAGACUCCUACGGGAGGCAGCAGUGGGGAAUAUUGCACAAUGGGCGAAAGCCUGAUCCAGCCAUGCCGCGUGUGUGAAGAAGGUCUUCGGAUUGUAAAGCACUUUAAGUUGGGAGGAAGGGCAGUAAGUUAAUACCUUGAUCUUUUGACGUUACCAGCAGAAGAAGCACCGGCUAACUUCGUGCCAGCAGCCGCGGUAAUACGAAGGGUGCAAGCGUUAAUCGGAAUUACUGGGCGUAAAGCGCGCGCAGGUGGUUCAGCAAGUCGGAUGUGAAAUCCCCGGGCUCAACCUGGGAACUGCAUUCGAAACUAGCAAGUUAGAGUCUUGUAGAGGGGGGUAGAAUUUCAUGUGUAGCGGUGAAAUGCGUAGAGAUCGGGAGGAAUCACCAGUGGCGAAGGCGGACCCCCUGGACAAAGACUGACCGCUUCAGGGCGAAAUGCGUG